rnacentral:rRNA from 1 species
GACGAACGCUGUCGGCGUGCUUAACACAUGCAAGUCGAACGGUAAGGCCCUUCGGGGUACACGAGUGGCGAACGGGUGAGUAACACGUGGGUGAUCUGCCCUGCACUUCGGGAUAAGCCUGGGUAACUGUGUCUAAUACCGGAUAGGACCACUGCCUGCAUGGGUGGUUGUGGAAAGCUUUUGCGGUGUGGGAUGGGCCCGCGGCCUAUCUGCGUGUUGGUGGGGUGAUGGUCUAGCAAGGCGACGGCGGGUAGCCGGCCUGAGAGGGGGACCGGCCACAGUGGGACUGAGAUACGGCCCAGACUCCGACGGGAGGCAGCAGUGGGGAAUAUUGCACAAUGGGCGCAAGCCUGGUGUAGCGACGCCGCGUGAGGGAUGACGGCCUUCGGGUUGUAACCCUCUUUCAGCACCGACGAAGCGCAAGUGACGGUAGGUGCAGAAGAAGUACCGGCCAACUACGUGCCAGCCGCCGCCGUAA